AUCACCAGGAGCUGGGGAUCGAUCGAUCCAAGGCGUGGAUCGAUCGAUCCCAAUUGUGACGAUGAAACCAAAAGUUCCAGUCGCUCGAGAUCGAUCGAUCCCAGGAGGGGAUCGAUCGAUCCAACCCUCAUUCGUCCGAGACAAUUGAUUCAGCAUUUCUGGAUCGAUCGAUCCACCCAUGGGAUCGAUCGAUCCAACCCUCAUCCGUCCAAGACCGUGAUUCAGCAUAUCUGGAUCGAUCGAUCCACCCAUCGGAUCGAUCGAUCCGAGCCUCGACGCCCGAGACGGUUUUCCUAAACCGGGUUUUGUCUUCCUUUUUUUUUUUUUUUUUGUACUUGGGUAUAAAAACCCCAGAGACCUAAUUUUCUUUUGACGUUUUUUUUCUGCAAUUUUUCUGAGACUUCUCUCUUGUAAGCAACCUUGGGAUUCUAGAGAUUCAUCCUCUUUGACAAUUUGGAGAAGAUUUCUAAACCCUAUUUCUUAUUUUCAUUGCAAUUCAAUUAUGUCUUCUUCAUCUAUUUGUCUUGUUUCUGUUGCUAUGUGUGAGUAGUCUUUUAAUUAGGUGUUAGGGUUCUAAUUAGGAGAUUCGAUAGAUUAAUGGAUUAAUUGUUGUUUGGAAUUCUCAUUCUCUAGGUUCUUUGAUUCACAUGUUCUUAAUGCUAGAAUAGGAUUGAUCACCCUGUUGUAGAACCUAGGUUUUUCUAUGCAUCAAAAGUGUUCGAUAGAAUGCCUGAAAGAAUGUGAAUUGAGCAAUGUAUUUCUAGCCAACGAAAGUUGAAGUUAGGACGCAUUGUGAACUAAAUGAACUUGUUUGAUAAUGCGAAUUUGACUAGGAAAUUACAUGCGAAAGUUUAGUAAUCGAGUAGUCAAAUUUAGUGAUUAAUGUCUUGAAAGAGAAUUAGUCUAAGUUGUGUUCAUGUUCAAGAACGGUUCGUAAUUGUUGAAUUCCUUGUCCCAUGUUUCCAUUGUUUAUUGAUCUCUGAAAUACCCUAAUGCCUAAUGUCUUUAAAUCUUGAAACUUAAAUCGUUUAAUUUAAUUGCAUUUUUAUUUUACAAUUCGGAAAACUCAAACAAAACAACUUUUUAGUUUUAGCUAAGAACAAGUCUC
rnacentral:lncRNA from 1 species